UGUUAUUUUAUUUAUCUUUUAUUAUUUUAAAUACCAAUUUUGUAUUGCUUUCUUAUACAAUGAACUUUUAUAUUGGUUGUUUUGGUGUGCAUUAGUCUCUAAAUCCAUUUUUAACAUUCUACAUUUUUGUCAAUCGUCUGUACAGCACUUUGAAUUGCAUUUGACUUGUUUGAAAGGUGCUAUAUAAAUAAAGCUUGAUUGAUUGAUUGAUUGUGCUUAUUUGCAUCUUGGUCAUGCCAGUGUUGUUAACAUGAAUUCCUCUGGACUGUAUUGGUUGGAGAGGAGUUUGUGAAAGCUUAAGUAACAUUAAUAAUACAUAUUUAAAUGUCUCAUUGUCAGUUCAGUUUGAUAUUGAAGGUUAAAUAAUGGUUUCCUUUUACUUUCUGCGAGGAUGUCAGCUCAUUAUAUUGAGAGGGGUAGGUGGAAAUUACAGGCUUUGCAGUAUUAUUGUCUAAAUAGAUUUUAGGUUAAUGAGUUGGUUGCUAACCAUCAACAUUCCUUUUUCUCUUGCUGACAGCCAACGUCCCUGAACAAUAAUCAGCUGUAUUGGUCCUAUUGUUGGAAGAGCUGUAACCUCUUUAUGGUAGUGAGGUGGUCGUCCAAUAUGGGUCAACUUCGAGGGCCCCCCUCUAUUGAAUGCCACUCUAAGAGAGAAUCCAGCCUCCCACCACCCUGCUGUCAUCUGUCCAGCCUUUGGACACUCACCAGAGUGGCGUUCUUGGAUCCCACGCUGGCCCUCUGCACCAGGAGCUUCUUGUCUCCCAGCUGCAUGCCAUUCAGCCCAGCAAUAGCCUGUAACGAUAUCAAGGGUUUAAAUUAUACUUUCGAAAACCCAAACUAUGAACAUUUAAAAUGACUAUGUGGUAUUUGAACAGUGUUCAUUAAAAAUUGUCUGACCAUCAAAA